GACGAACGCUGGCGGCGUGCUUAACACAUGCAAGUCGAACGGAAAGGCCCUGCUUUUGUGGGGUGCUCGAGGGGCGAACGGGUGAGUAACACGUGAGUAACCUGCCCUUGACUUUGGGAUAACUUCAGGAAACUGGGGCUAAUACCGGAUAGGAGCUCCUGCUGCAUGGUGGGGGUUGGAAAGUUUCGGCGGUUGGGGAUGGACGAGCGGCUUAUGAGCUUGUUGGUGGGGUAGUGGCUUACCAAGGCUUUGAAGGGUAGCCGGCCUGGGAGGGUGACCGGCCACAUUGGGACUGAGAUACGGCCCAGUCUCCAACAUUAGACAGCAGUGGCAAAUAUUGCACAAUGGUCGGAAGCCUGAUGCAACAACGCCGCGUGCGUGAUGACGUCCUUCGGGUUGUAAACCGCAUUCGCCUAUUACGAAGCUUGAGUGACGGUAAUGAAUAAAGAAGCACCGGCUAGCUACGUG
rnacentral:rRNA from 1 species